rnacentral:rRNA from 1 species
CGUACACUCCUGCGGGAGGCAGCAGUGAGGAAUAUUGGACAAUGGGUGGAAGCCUGAUCCAGCCAUCCCGCGUGCAGGAAGACGGCCCUAUGGGUUGUAAACUGCUUUUAUCUGGGGAUAAACCUACUUACGUGUAAGUAGCUGAAGGUACCAGAAGAAUAAGCACCGGCUAACUCCGUGCCAGCCGCCGCGGUAAUACGGAGGGUGCAAGCGUUAUCCGGAUUUAUUGGGUUUAAAGGGUCCGUAGGCGGACUGAUAAGUCAGUGGUGAAAUCCGACAGCUUAACUGUCGAACUGCCAUUGAUACUGUUAGUCUUGAGUAAGGUUGAAGUGGCUGGAAUAAGUAGUGUAGCGGUGAAAUGCAUAGAUAUUACUUAGAACACCAAUUGCGAAGGCAGGUCACUAAGUCUUAACUGACGCUGAUGGACGAAAGCGUGGGGAGCGAACAGGAUUAGAAACCCUGGUAGUCCC